GCUGGCUGCCUCCCAGAGUCACUGCCCAGCCCUUGGACAAAGGGCACAGAGGAGGAGCAGGUGACCAGGCUGGCUGGCAUCCGUGGAGGGAGGCUGGGCAGCAACAUAUGUGGACAUGGCAGGGCUUCUACGGCUGCCCAGAGAAUCUUAAAUCGAAACAAAAACCCCCAAGCUAAUUCCCGUCCUGGAAUCUGCUUGGUGCCUCAACUUCCUUGUAGGGAGCCAAGCUCCUCUUUCCAGCCCUGUAAGUGGCAGAGGCACAGGCUCUGGGUUAGACUCCUGGGAGAGGACGGAGAACCAGGCCCUCUGACUUAUUCCACCGAGUGACCAGCUUAUCGCGGUUUGGCCAGGCUUGUCCUAGUUUUAGCACUAGGA